rnacentral:rRNA from 1 species
GACAGAGGGGGCAAGCGUUGCUCGGAAUUACUGGGCGUAAAGGGCGCGUAGGCGGGAUGGCAAGUCGGUCGUGAAAUCCUUCGGCUCAACCGAAGAACGUCGAUCGAUACUGCUGUUCUUGAGGGUUGCAGAGGAGACUGGAAUUCCCGGUGUAGCGGUGAAAUGCGCAGAUAUCAGGAAGAACACCCGUGGCUAAGGCGGUUCUCUAGUACGGUACUGACGCUGAGACGCGAAAGCGUGGGGAGCGAACAGG